rnacentral:rRNA from 1 species
GCGAACGAGUUCUCGUUGAUGAUCGGUGCUUGCACCGAGAUUCAACAUGGAACGAGUGCCGGACGGGUGAGUAACACGUGGGUAACCUGCCCUUAAGUGCGGGAUAACAUUUGGAAACAGAUGCUAAUACCGCAUAGAUCCAAGAACCGCAUGGUUCUUGGCUGAAAGAUGGCGUAAGCUAUCGCUUUUGGAUGGACCCGCGGCGUAUUAGCUAGUUGGUGAGGUAAUGGCUCACCAAGGCGAUGAUACGUAGCCGAACUGAGAGGUUGAUCGGCCACAUUGGGACUGAGACACGGCCCAAACUCCUACGGGAGGCAGCAGUAGGGAAUCUUCCACAAUGGACGCAAGUCUGAUGGAGCAACGCCGCGUGAGUGAAGAAGGCUUUCGGGUCGUAAAACUCUGUUGUUGGAGAAGAAUGGUCGGCAGAGUAACUGUUGUCGGCGUGACGGUAUCCAACCAGAAAGCCACGGCUAACUACGUGCCAGCAGCCGCGGUAAUACGUAGGUGGCAAGCGUUAUCCGGAUUUAUUGGGCGUAAAGCGAGCGCAGGCGGUUUUUUAAGUCUGAUGUGAAAGCCCUCGGCUUAACCGAGGAAGCGCAUCGGAAACUGGGAAACUUGAGUGCAGAAGAGGACAGUGGAACUCCAUGUGUAGCGGUGAAAUGCGUAGAUAUAUGGAAGAACACCAGUGGCGA